AUUGAACGCUGGCGGCAUGCCUUACACAUGCAAGUCGAACGGUAACAGGUCUUCAGAUGCUGACGAGUGGCGAACGGGUGAGUAAUACAUCGGAACGUGCCUAGUAGUGGGGGAUAACUACUCGAAAGAGUGGCUAAUACCGCAUGAGAUCUACGGAUGAAAGCAGGGGAUCGCAAGACCUUGUGCUACUGGAGCGGCCGAUGGCAGAUUAGGUAGUUGGUGGGAUAAGAGCUUACCAAGCCGACGAUCUGUAGCUGGUCUGAGAGGACGAUCAGCCACACUGGGACUGAGACACGGCCCAGACUCCUACGGGAGGCAGCAGUGGGGAAUUUUGGACAAUGGGCGCAAGCCUGAUCCAGCAAUGCCGCGUGCAGGAUGAAGGCCUUCGGGUUGUAAACUGCUUUUGUACGGAACGAAAAGCCCCGGGUUAAUACCCUGGGGUCAUGACGGUACCGUAAGAAUAAGCACCGGCUAACUACGUGCCAGCCGCCGCAGUAA
rnacentral:rRNA from 1 species